CUUGCAGGUAUAUUUCUCCACUAUACAUGGAUAUAUUUCUCCACUAUACAUGGUCCAUAGGCCUCCCACCAUUUUUAUAUUAAAAAAAAUCUAAUCACCAAUUUUCAUAACAAACCGUGGGGCUUGUUUCCUGGCAACAUGCCACAGCUCCUUCCUUCACUCCACUGAGGCUCAGCUACCUCUAGGGGGAGCCCAUUGGCUGUCAUCUUCCGGUAGAGGGCUGUUUAACUAGCUCCUGCUGGGAUGUGGACCAGCUCUCUGCAAGCACAAUUAGAGCGUCUGUCAGGAGAAGAUGAACUACUGCAAGGCAGGAUGAAUCUACCCUGCAUGGACCCAGCUGGAGUUAACCACACAGUGUGAGUGAAGAUCCUGCACUCUGCAGGAUCCUACCAGGGAGCGGCUGGAGCUACACGCCAUAGAGGCUGAGCCAGUAGGACCGACGUCAGAACCCCUGCUGACCCCAGAGGAUGAGAAUAAGCUGGAAAACCGACACCCCCAGGAGAUCUGACAGAACAGAAACCAAGAGUAGGAAGUGACCCCAGGAAUGUGACUGUUAAAAUAGGAACCUGAGCCUUAGCUGUGGACCACACUACCAGUUUCACAGGCCCCGGGUUGGGACCUGGUGGGGUAGCAUGGGCCCAGGUCUCUCUACCCUGCUCCACAUCUACCGCUGGGUGUGAGCACUGCCCAAGGACUCUGGUCAUUUGACCAUGCUGCCCUGAGAGCACUACCCUGCUUUAUAGGCUAGAACAGCAGUACCUACUCUAGCCACUUGAGCCAUAAUCCCUUAUUUGUCACGUGCAACCUGACAGCCCAAGAGGGGGUGCAUCUACCCCAUGACACGUUGGUUCAUUGCUGAGGGAAAGUGACACUCUCAUAAUACUACACCCCUCUGGCAUAUGUCCCUUUUGUUUACCUGUCAUAUAUACCUACAAGUACAGUAGCAACAGAAGGAUUUGACGUUCCCUACCUUUAGCAAAACAUGCAAAUAAAGACUACAUUAGUGUUCUUUCAUCGAGAGCUCCAAUCAUCAGCAGACAAGCUCCAAUCAAGAUUUUCAUUCUACCCUAGACCCCACUGCUGCCUCAAGUAGUGUAUCAUUAAAAUGAUUGGGUAACAGAUCCAUGUACAAUGCUGAAACUGAUCUUAACCUGCUUAAUCAUACCAUAAAUAGUGACGCUGGUUUUUUUUCAGCUGUCAACAAUGGAUUCUGUCUCUAAAGUGUUGGAGCUGUAAAUAUUGGGCAGGUGGAAGGAAGGUUGUAAUCUGGGAGAGGAGGAAAUGUUAUUAGAAAAGCUGUACAGAAUCUGAAAUUGCACAAAUGAUUAAAUUACCUUCUGCCUGAAUAUGCUGAAGUAAAUGUUAUGGGAAGUUCCUGGGAAAAGAGUUGGCUAUUUGAUUAAAUUUCAAUAGAUGAAGGCCAGAUUCUGGAAGAUGUUGAACACCAAUGCCCACUGAUUUUUAGAACAUCCUAAUAUCCCUCAGUACCUCUUAUGAGGCUAACAAGGAAUUUGAGGAAAUGAACUUGCCAAAAAAUACUUGGGAAAUAUCACAUCCUAUUGAAGA